UGUUUCGGCUAGGGGGCCAUCCCGGCUUACCAACCCGAUGCAAACUGCGAAUACCGGAGAAUGUUAUCACGGGAGACACACGGCGGGUGCUAACGUCCGUCGUGAAGAGGGAAACAACCCAGACCGCCAGCUAAGGUCCCAAAGUCAUGGUUAAGUGGGAAACGAUGUGGGAAGGCCCAGACAGCCAGGAUGUUGGCUUAGAAGCAGCCAUCAUUUAAAGAAAGCGUAAUAGCUCACUGGUCGAGUCGGCCUGCGCGGAAGAUGUAACGGGGCUAAACCAUGCACCGAAGCUGCGGCAGCGACACUGUGUGUUGUUGGGUAGGGGAGCGUUCUGUAAGCCUGUGAAGGUGGCCUGUGAGGGUUGCUGGAGGUAUCAGAAGUGCGAAUGCUGACAUAAGUAACGAUAAAGCGGGUGAAAAGCCCGCUCGCCGGAAGACCAAGGGUUCCUGUCCAACGUUAAUCGGGGCAGGGUGAGUCGACCCCUAAGGCGAGGCCGAAAGGCGUAGUCGAUGGGAAACGGGUUAAUAUUCCCGUACUUGGUGUUACUGCGAAGGGGGGACGGAGAAGGCUAUGUUGGCCGGGCGACGGUUGUCCCGGUUUAAGCGUGUAGGUGUGUGUUCCAGGUAAAUCCGGUUCACUUUAACACUGAGGCGUGAUGACGAGGCACUACGGUGCUGAAGCAACAAAUGCCCUGCUUCCAGGAAAAGCCUCUAAGCAUCAGGUAACAUCAAAUCGUACCCCAAACCGACACAGGUGGUCAGGUAGAGAAUACCAAGGCGCUUGAGAGAACUCGGGUGAAGGAACUAGGCAAAAUGGUGCCGUAACUUCGGGAGAAGGCACGCUGACAC
rnacentral:rRNA from 1 species